rnacentral:rRNA from 1 species
UAUAGCAAUAGCUACUUGCAUCAUAUGAUGCAAAAUCGACUAUGUCGAAUAAAAUUCUAGGUAGAAUUAUGAUAAUGACAUUGUCUGCCUAUGUGUCUUGACCAAAUUACGUGCCAGCAGUCGCGGUAAUACGUAGAAGACUAGUGUUAUUCAUGUUUAAUCGGUUUAAAGGGUACCUAGACGGUAAAUCAAGCUUUCCAAGAAAUAAAGUUAAAGGACUAAUUUACUAGAGUUACUUAUGAGGGGGCAUUAAAGUACUGCUGGUGUAGAGAUGAAAUUCUGUCAUACCUAGUAUCAAUAGAAAAAAAGACGGCACGGGUAUAGGCGAAGGCAUCUCCUUAUGUGAUAACUGACGUUGAGGGACGAAGGCUUUGUAUAGCGAACAGGAUUAGUUACCCCAGUAGUCUAAGCAGAAAAUGAUGAAUGUCAUAGAUUAGAGGUAAGUUUAUUCUAUAAAUGAAAGUGUAAGCAUUCCACCUCAUGAGUAAUUUGGCAACAUUGGAACUGAAAUCAUUAGACCGUAUCUGAAACCAGUAGUGAAGUAUGUUGUUUAAUUUGAUUAUCCGCAAAAAACCUUACCACAAUUUGAAUAUUUAUAUUUUUUUUUAUUGUUUUCUUUAUAAUUUUCUUCUGAACAAAGUUAAUAAUGAGGCAAUAAGAUAUAUUUACAAGCGUUGCACGGCUGUCUACAGUUAAUGUCGUGAGACUUUGGUUAGUUCCAUUAAAUUAACGUAAACCCUUACUUUAUUUUUAUAUAGAGUAGUUCUCCGCUAUAUUGGAUAUGAU